UCUCAGUUCAACCUGCAGAGCAUCAGACGGAUCCACAUCAGCAGUUUCAGCAGAAAUCUGACAAUGAAGCUGGUAUCAGUCGUCUUCCUCCUCCUGGCUCCUCUGUUGACCAGCUGCCAGCAGCUCGUCCAACCGGUGGACUGCAGUGAAAUCUACAAACAAGACAAGAGCGUCCCCAGUGGAGUGUACACCAUCUAUCCCCUUGGAGAGAGGUCUGCU